CGGACAGUACUUUGUGAGAUGAGGCACUGACUAUACAGUAAGUUCUCUAUAUUGAUGAUGCAUCAUUCUAGAAUCUGAGGUCUGCACACCGUCCUUCUCAACAAAAGUUGUGUAACAAGUACACUAGAUGCAGCGCCGUUAAACCAACAUCAAGACAGAAACAACAGGAACUCUGAUGUCGAAGAGCUCUCUGUAACUCUGAGAGGAAUUUACAAUAGAGCUAUAUCCAUCAAUGUUUGCCCAAGAAAUGCACCAGGAAGUGGGACGUAGACCAGUGCUACCACCAAGACAAGAGUAGCGGGUUGUUUGUGGGGCCCGAAAUGCAAACACGGUAAUGAUUCCUGCACCAGCAGUAACGUCCGAAUUAACUCCAGUACCGUCAGCUGGACUUUUGAAAGUACCACGGUCUUGGAAUCUCAUGAACAGAGACGUAAUGACAACAAGCAUCCAUAUGUGUAACUUCUGUGGGCUGUAGGUAAGGCUCAUCAUGUAACCGUACAUCAGUGUUGCGUAACCGGUGUGAUGCUAUUAAUUAUACAUUAGCACGUUAUU